UUUUUUUUUUUUCCAAAGGAAGAAUCUGUCACUUGGAGCCAAGGAGGUGAAAGUGGCCAGAAUUCCUAACUCCAUUCCCCAACCAUUCUCUCUGGCAUACGUAUGUCCGGAUGCAGGUUUGGGAGGAGGAGCAAGAGAGAAGGGGAGCCACUGGGACCCUGCCUGCCGCUGAGUCGGGCAGGACAAUAGCAGGGUUAUGCAGGGCAGACACACAGCAAGGCCAUACAAGUCCUGGGGCUUCUUUUCGGGCUAAAAAUAGCUCUUCUUACAGCAUUCCCAACUAUUCACUUCUUGCCUAAGUCGCCGGAUGUUGUCUUUUUGGGUGGGGGCCUUUUGCUCCAUGCUGCAGUGGUUCUGUACAUGGUUUCCUUGGCAACCCCAUGUUCUUACUCUAACAAUGAAAACCGCUGUUGAGCCAAGGGCCUGAGGCUCUGUUCCCACUCCCUCUCCACCAAGUGUCCUAUAUUCUCUGGUUCCAUGCACGUAGUCCUAGAGCCUGGGAAUAGGUUAGCCCUUAACAAGAGGGCUGAGACUCCCCUUUCUCACACUAUUCCUCUCAGUACCUUCAGUACCCCGGGGUGGAAAGUGAAAAGAUAUUCAAGGACAAUGUAAGUCAGGUAUGGGACAAAUACAUUUUUUCUACACUCAAAAGAAAUAGUUAACACAAAAGGCUCUCAUGAGUGCACAUUGUCAAAAACUUAAGGCGACUAAACAAGUGUCAGGAAUAAUUACUGUUAAUACUCUUUUGGGAGGGUGAGCUUAAAUUACAUAAGAACCUAAAGCAAUUGGUGAGACUGUUGAACAGGCAUUGCUAUAUUUCUUUCAAGUAUUUGAUUUUGUUAUUUUUAACACACAUUAUGAAUUAUAUUGGGAGAGAAAAAUCAGAGCAAAAGGGGAAAACUUUGGGAAAGAUUUUUAAAAAAACAGAAAAAAACAAGUGAACAUAGUUUGUGUUGAUUUACAUUCAGUCUCCUUAGUUCUUUUUCUGUGUGCAGAUGGUAUUUUCUGCCUAAAGUCUAUUGGGAUUGCUUUGAAUCACUGAACCACUGAGAAAAACCAAGUCUUUCAUAGCUGAUCAUUGCACAUUCUUGCUCUUAUUGUAUAUGACAUAUUUCUGGUUCUGCUUGUUUUGCUCAGAACAUCGCUAUGUUUCUCUUAAGGCUCCAUACUGUUCUCUCCAAAUUCAUGUCUGCCAGACAGCCAGGUCAAAACGUGGGCUUCUCUUCCUGUCACUAGUCAUGUUCUCUAAUGCAGAAACUUCUCCCACCACCAAUUAACGCCACCCAGUGGAUCCCAAGCCCCUGCGUCUCUUGAACUCACUCAGUUCCCAUCCUAAGAUCAGGGUUUGGUCAACUCAGAUCCGAAACAUUGCAGGUGCAGGUUUGCCUCGUCGGGCGUAUGCUUUAAUAGCUGCUGUUCCUCAUUUCUGCUGGGAGGGAAGGAAAGGGCCUCCCUCUCCGGGAGAGCUCCUCGCCACAUGGAGAAGGUCCAGGGAAGAGAGCUGGGGUGGAGCCCUUCUCAAAGGUCCCCUGAGUCAUCAGCCCUUCAGCCAACAAGAAGAUGUGCCCUUCAAUAGUGAGUCACCAGAAAGAGGCAUCAUCCCCCAAACCUCAAAAGUACAUGGUCCGAAGGAAGGGGGAUCUACAGGGAUUUUUUUGUUUUUGGUUUUGGUUUUUCUAAGGCAAUUGGGGUCACGUGACUCCCCCAAGGUCACACAGCCAGGAAGUGUUAAGUGUCUGAGGUUGGAUUUGAACUCAGGUCUUCUUGACUUCAGGGCCGACGUUCUAUCCACUGCGCCCCUUAGCUGCCUAAAUCUGCAAUUUUGAACAUGCCCCGUCCGACCCCUGGUUUUAUUAUUUGGCCCCCUGAAAUAUCUGAAUACCUGGAAUGAGGCCCUCUCUAGAGACUGCGCUCCCUUUAUUAUAAGAUGUAAACCAAAAGGCUGGUUAGUGUCAGAACCCAGUUCAACAUGUCCGCCUCUUUAGGACUCCGUUUGGCGUUUUCUUGGCAAAGAUACUGAGGGGGUUCACCAUUUCUUUCUCCAGCUCAUGUUACAGAGGAGGAAACUGAGGAAAACAGGUUAAUUGACUUAUCUAGGGUCAUACAGCUGGUUGUUAGGUCCAAUCUGAACUCCACUGCUCAUCCUCUUAUAAUAAGGGCUUAAUAAAUGAUUGACUCAUGAGGGGAUUGAAUCUAGUUAUUUCCAGUUUUAUAUAUAUUAAAAUAUAUAUAAAUAUGUAUACAAACACACACAUAUACAUGAGUAUCUUUGUAUCUAUCAAUCAAUCUGUAGCUCUAUAGGUACACACACAUAUAUGUAUAUCCGUAUCUAUUGAUCAAUCAGUAGCUCUAUAGGUACACACACAUAUGUAUAUCUGUAUCGAUCAAUCCGUAGCUCUAUAGGUACACACACAUAUAUGUAUAUCCGUAUCUAUUGAUCAAUCAGUAGCUCUAUAGGUACACACACAUAUAUGUAUAUCCGUAUCUAUUGAUCAAUCAGUAGCUCUAUAGGUACACACACAUAUAUGUAUAUCCGUAUCUAUUGAUCAAUCAGUAGCUCUAUAGGUACACACACAUAUAUGUAUAUCCGUAUCUAUUGAUCAAUCAGUAGCUCUAUAGGUACACACACAUAUAUGUAUAUCCGUAUCUAUUGAUCAAUCUGUAGCUCUAUAGGUACACACACACAUAUGUAUAUCCGUAUCUAUUGAUCAAUCUGUAACUCUAUAGGUACACACACAUAUAUGUAUAUCUGUAUCUGUCGAUCAAUCUGUAGCUCUAUAGAUAUACAGACAUAUCUACACAUAUGUGUGUAUCUUUGUACCUAUCAAUCUAUAUUUACUAAGUCAUUUCUGGCACCCCUCACCCCAUAUCCCCAAGAUCCUUUCAAAAAUACAUAAGAUCAAAAAUAUUCUCAUAAUAAUACCAAGAUGUUAUUUUCCUAUUAAAAAUACUCCUCCCUUUUUCAUCUACAUCUACAUCUAUAUGUAUAUAUCAAUCAAUCUCUAGAUCUAUAGGUACACACAUACACACACAAAACCACCAGGGGGUGCCAGUGAGCUCAGCCGUCCUGGCAGUGUGCUAAGCCGAGCUCCAAUGAGCAUGCGCGAACAUUUCAUUUCAAGCCUUCCCUCCGCCCCUUUCCCUUCAGCCUCGUUUGAAAUCCAGCUGGGGUUUUCUGGGCAAAGACGAGCGAUGUCUUUUCCAUUCCUCCUUGGAAGGGUUCUGCCUUCCCCUUUAUUGGGCCCAUGUGUGCAAGAAGUAUCUGGUUCUUUCUCCAGUGAACUAUUGUCCCCCUCCGGCGCUUGGAUCUCGGGCCAGAAGCCUUUGUCUGGCCGCGCCCCCUCAGACAGGAGCGGCAGCCGCGGAAUCUGCCGCCCUCCCCGCACUCGGUGCUCGCGCCGUUCCCACGGCCGUUCCCACGGCCCGUCCCAGGGCC